GGGGUUGUAGCUCUGUGGUAGAGUGCUUGCCUCUCGUGUGAGGUCCUGGGUUCGAUCCUCAGCACCACA
rnacentral:tRNA from 1 species